CAAACAAGAAUGAGAAAAAAGCCAACAAUAGACCAAGAAGCGAAAUUUUUCCAUGGUUCAUAUUUCCCUGUCACUUCCAUUUCCCCUGUUAUUUUGCUUUCCCGAAGAUGGCCAUUAUAUCCAGGGCGAGGUUUUGAGAGCUCUUCACUAAAUUCAUAAUCAUACACUCCCCAUUCAUAUGCUCUCCGAUUCGAACGCCUUUUCCACAACUCCAGAAAAACAAAAGACCAAAGAGUCAAAAAAGAAGCAAAAAAAAUUGCUGUUGUUGUU
rnacentral:ribozyme from 13 species